rnacentral:rRNA from 1 species
CCUACGUGAGGCAGCAGUGGGGAAUAUUGCGCAAUGGGCGAAAGCCUGACGCAGCGCCGCCGCGUGAGGGAUGAAGGUCUUCGGAUCAUCAACCUCUGUCAGCAGGGAAGAACGGUCACUGUGCUAAUCAGCAGUGAAUUGACGGUACCUGCAAAGGAAGCCCCGGCUAACUCCGUGCCAGCAGCCGCGGUAAUACGGAAGGUGCGAGAGUUAAUCGGACUUACUGGGCGUAAAGUGCUCGUGGGCGGGAUGUCAAGUCAAGGGGGAAAUCCCCGCGCUCAACGUGGGAACUGCCUUUGAAACUGGCAAACUGGAGUGUGUGAGAGGAUAGUGGAAUUCCAGGUGUAGGAGUGAAAUCCGUAGAUAUCUGGAGGAACAUCAGUGGCGAAGGCGACUGUCUGGCACAUAACUGACGCUGAGGAGCGAAAGCGUGGGUAGCAAACAGGAUUAGAUACCCGGGUAGUC